rnacentral:rRNA from 1 species
CGCUAGCUACAGGCUUAACACAUGCAAGUCGAGGGUCAGCAUGGUCUUAGCUUGCUAAGGCCGAUGGCGACCGGCGCACGGGUGAGUAACACGUAUCCAACCUGCCGUCUACUCUUGGACAGCCUUCUGAAAGGAAGAUUAAUACAAGAUGGCAUCAUGAGUCCGCAUGUUCACAUGAUUAAAGGUAUUCCGGUAGACGAUGGGGAUGCGUUCCAUUAGAUAGUAGGCGGGGUAACGGCCCACCUAGUCUUCGAUGGAUAGGGGUUCUGAGAGGAAGGUCCCCCACAUUGGAACUGAGACACGGUCCAAACUCCUACGGGAGGCAGCAGUGAGGAAUAUUGGUCAAUGGGCGAGAGCCUGAACCAGCCAAGUAGCGUGAAGGAUGACUGCCCUAUGGGUUGUAAACUUCUUUUAUAAAGGAAUAAAGUCGGGUAUGGAUACCCGUUUGCAUGUACUUUAUGAAUAAGGAUCGGCUAACUCCGUGCCAGCAGCCGCGGUAAUACGGAGGAUCCGAGCGUUAUCCGGAUUUAUUGGGUUUAAAGGGAGCGUAGAUGGAUGUUUAAGUCAGUUGUGAAAGUUUGCGGCUCAACCGUAAAAUUGCAGUUGAUACUGGAUAUCUUGAGUGCAGUUGAGGCAGGCGGAAUUCGUGGUGUAGCGGUGAAAUGCUUAGAUAUCACGAAGAACUCCGAUUGCGAAGGCAGCCUGCUAAGCUGCAACUGACAUUGAGGCUCGAAAGUGUGGGUAUCAAACAGGAUUAGAUACCCUGGUAGUCCACACGGUAAACGAUGAAUACUCGCUGUUUGCGAUAUACUGCAAGCGGCCAAGCGAAAGCGUUAAGUAUUCCACCUGGGGAGUACGCCGGCAACGGUGAAACUCAAAGGAAUUGACGGGGGCCCGCACAAGCGGAGGAACAUGUGGUUUAAUUCGAUGAUACGCGAGGAACCUUACCCGGGCUUAAAUUGCAGAUGAAUUACGGUGAAAGCCGUAAGCCGCAAGGCAUCUGUGAAGGUGCUGCAUGGUUGUCGUCAGCUCGUGCCGUGAGGUGUCGGCUUAAGUGCCAUAACGAGCGCAACCCUUGUUGUCAGUUACUAACAGGUUCCGCUGAGGACUCUGACAAGACUGCCAUCGUAAGAUGUGAGGAAGGUGGGGAUGACGUCAAAUCAGCACGGCCCUUACGUCCGGGGCUACACACGUGUUACAAUGGGGGGUACAGAGGGCCGCUACCACGCGAGUGGAUGCCAAUCCCCAAAACCUCUCUCAGUUCGGACUGGAGUCUGCAACCCGACUCCACGAAGCUGGAUUCGCUAGUAAUCGCGCAUCAGCCACGGCGCGGUGAAUACGUUCCCGGGCCUUGUACACACCGCCCG